GUUAAACACUACACUGUAACGAAUUGCUGUAAAAAUUACAGCAUUAUUUUACAGCAGCGGGCUGUUUUUCUAAUAAUACAGAAAAUUGCUGUAAACUGCAAUGCAUUGUGGGGCUGCGUGGCGGUUUAACCCAAUAUACAGAGUAUUGCUGUAAAUUUCAAAUUUUCAGAAUGCAUUGUGGGAUCUUCAACGGUCGAGAUUCGUGAAGCGCCAACAGGAGUGAUUCACAGCUGUGUGGGGUGAGCAAUUGGACAGGCAGGUGGAGAGGAGACACUAGAUGCAUUCAUCCCAGCUUCCUGUCUGACUUUGGCACUCUGUUCACAGCAUAUCAUCUUCAUUCAAAGCGCUCUGUAUCUGGAGAGAGGAACAAAGAAGUCAGGAGGAAAAGUAAACAUCAGGCCAAAUGGUACAGAAGAAACAGGUUGCAGUGAACCUACAUGUUGCUACUCUUCUUUGCAAAGUGAUGAAUUUGCAGUGGAGUUUCUACAAUCUGCCUUUCGCAACCUGUGAUGGAAAACAGUCUGGAGCCGAAUUGUUCUCCUUGACCAGAAGUUUAUUGGAAUCGCUUGGGAUCAUUUGGACAUACUGGACUGUUCCUGCAGUGGUGACAAUUAAUCUGUUUUUUAUGUAACAAUUAUACAACUUCAUUUCAUUUUGUCAUCCACGAAAAUUAUUUGUGAGUCCUAUUGGAUUUGAUUCCUAUCUACAGUGAAGGUAAAGACCCAUUGUUCCACACUCUUUUACAGCAUUAUCAAGCUAUGCCAUUGUUGUUGUCAUCGUUGUUUAGCAACCUCUAGCUAAAUAUAUUUAAUAUUGUGCCUUUAAAGUUAUGCAGUUUUUUAGAUAUUUCUCUUUCUGUGUGAAGGGCCACACAGUGUACAUGUUUCAAUUACUUUAAAAAUAUUUAAUUUUAUGUCCAUAAGAAAAACAUUCAAAAUAUAUGUUUUGACAUUUUCCAUGCAAAUGUAAAAGUUAUAUAUUAAAUUUAAAUAAAUUUUGAACUGUUUUUAAAGCUUGUGUUAUUUUUAAAUUUAGUGAAAUAAUAGGUGAAUUAAGUUAUGUACAACAUGUUAUGCAGUUACAUAAAGUGUAAAGUUUGCCUUAAAUGUAUUUCAGUGGCCAGUUUUAAUCAUUAGAAUACUAUACUGCAUUUACAUACUAAAUUAAAAGUAAUUUACUGUAAAAAAAAUACAGCAUUAGUUUAAAAAUACAGUAUUUUACAGUGAUAAAAAAUACAGACAAAGUCUGUAAAUUAAAUUACAACAUUUUUGUAAAAAAUACAGUUUUUUACAGUAAUCAGAAAAUACAGGGAAAGUCUGUAAAUUAAAAUUACAGCGACACUACUGUAAAAAUUACAGUAACUGGCUGGCAACCCUGCUGCCAGUAUUUUACUGUAAAAUUUACAGGUAAUUUUUU